rnacentral:rRNA from 1 species
UGGGGAAUAUUGGACAAUGGGCGCAAGCCUGAUCCAGCCAUGCCGCGUGAGUGAUGAAGGCCCUAGGGUUGUAAAGCUCUUUCACCGGUGAAGAUAAUGACGGUAACCGGAGAAGAAGCCCCGGCUAACUUCGUGCCAGCAGCCGCGGUAAUACGAAGGGGGCUAGCGUUGUUCGGAUUUACUGGGCGUAAAGCGCACGUAGGCGGACUUUUAAGUCAGGGGUGAAAUCCCGGGGCUCAACCCCGGAACUGCCUUUGAUACUGGAAGUCUUGAGUAUGGUAGAGGUGAGUGGAAUUCCGGGUGUAGAGGUGAACUUCGUGGAUAUUCGGAGGAACACCAGUGGCGAAGGCGGCUCACUGGACCAUUACUGACGCUGAGGUGCGAAAGCGUGGGGAGCAAACAGG